rnacentral:rRNA from 1 species
GACGAACGCUGGCGGCGUGCUUAACACAUGCAAGUCGAACGGAAAGGCCCUGCUUUUGUGGGGUGCUCGAGUGGCGAACGGGUGAGUAACACGUGAGUAACCUGCCCUUGACUUUGGGAUAACUUCAGGAAACUGGGGCUAAUACCGGAUAGGAGCUCCUGCUGCAUGGUGGGGGUUGGAAAGUUUCGGCGGUUGGGGAUGGACUCGCGGCUUAUCAGCUUGUUGGUGGGGUAGUGGCUUACCAAGGCUUUGACGGGUAGCCGGCCUGAGAGGGUGACCGGCCACAUUGGGACUGAGAUACGGCCCAGACUCCUACGGGAGGCAGCAGUGGGGAAUAUUGCACAAUGGGCGGAAGCCUGAUGCAACAACGCCGCGUGCGGGAUGACGGCCUUCGGGUUGUAAACCGCUUUCGCCUGUGACGAAGCGUGAGUGACGGUAAUGGGUAAAGAAGCACCGGCUAACUACGUGCCAGCAGCCGCGGUGAUACGUAGGGUGCGAGCGUUGUCCGGAUUUAUUGGGCGUAAAGGGCUCGUAGGUGGUUGAUCGCGUCGGAAGUGUAAUCUUGGGGCUUAACCCUGAGCGUGCUUUCGAUACGGGUUGACUUGAGGAAGGUAGGGGAGAAUGGAAUUCCUGGUGGAGCGGGUGGAAUGCGCAGAUAUCAGGAGGAACACCAGUGGCGAAGGCGGUUCUCUGGGCCUUUCCUGACGCUGAGGAGCGAAAGCGUGGGGAGCGAACAGGCUUAGAUACCCUGGUAGUCCACGCUGUAAACGGUGGGUACUAGGUGUGGGGUCCAUUCCACGGGUUCCGUGCCGUAGCUAACGCUUUAAGUACCCCGCCUGGGGAGUACGGCCGCAAGGCUAAAACUCAAAGGAAUUGACGGGGCCCCGCACAAGCGGCGGAGCAUGCGGAUUAAUUCGAUGCAACGCGUAGAACCUUACCUGGGUUUGACAUGGAUCGGGAGUGCCCAGAGAUGGGUGUGCCUCUUUUGGGGUCGGUUCACAGGUGGUGCAUGCCUGUCGUCAGCUCGUGUCGUGAGAUGUUGGGUUAAGUCCCGCAACGAGCGCAACCCUUGUUCACUGUUGCCAGCACGUUAUGGUGGGGACUCAGUGGAGACCGCCGGGGUCAACUCGGAGGAAGGUGGGGAUGACGCCAAGUCCUCAUGCCCCUUAUGUCCAGGGCUUCACGCAUGCUACAAUGGCUGGUACAGAGAGUGGCGAGCCUGUGAGGGUGAGCGAAUCUCGGAAAGCCGGUCUCAGUUCGGAUUGGGGUCUGCAACCCGACCUCAUGAAGUCGGAGUCGCUAGUAAUCGCAGAUCAGCAACGCUGCGGUGAAUACGUUCCCGGG